GCAAAGCAAUUGCUCGUCGAAGUAAAGCAAAGGUUGCUCAAGAGUGAUUUAAAGAUGAGAAAAUACGAAAGCAUAUUAUCAAGAUCGUUGCAUCAAGAGUAAAAUCAGAAUUGGUAACGCUUUGUAAGACAUCACAGAAUUCAAUUUUGCUGCUUUUCAUUCACCUAUUUUGUUCAACAUUUUGCAGCAGUGUACAGCUACCAAAAUUCCUCGAUCCAAUAGAAGCUUUGUAAUCGGAAUGUGUGCUGCUACUUUAUGCAAGCGAGUCUUCUACACAAAAUUGUGUCGGGUCACUGUUCAAAAUUGUAUAUAUAGAGUGCAUGUCUGCAAUUCUAUAUUCAUUUGCUUUAUAAAUAGAGUAUAAUCCUUCAUGUUAACGAAUUCUACAGGCAUUUUCAUUCUACAGGCAUUUCACAAACUUGGGGUUGUGAUAUCGAGAAACUAGGUGAAGGACAUGGAAACUUUGUCACAGCAGAGAAGUGGGGUAACACAGCUAGAUAUGUCUCGGUGGUGACAUGCUAGAAGAUGAGGAUACGUGUCAAAGCCGAAUGCUUGGAUAAUCAAUCUGAUGUUUGUAAUAUUAUGGACAUGUCAAUUCAAAGCUCUGAACUAUUUGAUUUCUCACCAAUUAUUCGCCAGCGGAUACACUAUCAGAAAACGGACUCUCCAAGAGAGCAUUGGAAUUCAGCCAAUAAAAGCGAUUGUGACCAAAUCAAUUUACCCAAGCCUUGGCAUGGUUUUACUAUCGUUGACGAUAAUCUCGACAUGAAUGUUCAUCGUCGACAUGUGAGAAUUGAUCAGCAGACACGUUCUCUUCAUCACUUUCAAUGCUAUGCCGUAUCUGAUGAUACCCCCCACAGGUUGUAAAAUGUAUUAAGACUGAGAGUGAUUUAUUGCUGGACAACUUCGCAAUAUUGUUGGCUGUGUCAAUAUGUCACCUAUUUUUCGAAGACGCUAUUGAUCAACAUAUCACCCAUAAACACUCAAAAGAAAUGUCACUUAAGUCAGAAAUUGCUCCUCUAGGAGUUAUUUUGAAAAACGAAAGUAUAAGAAGUGAUUUGAUUCAAGAAGUUCUACAGAAAUAUGUACCAUCACAAGGCAACAGUGGUCACACUCUUUUGUUUCGUGGUGAUGCCUCCCGUGCAAGGAGUUGUGCUGAAUUGAGAAUAAACUCAGACGAUGCGUUUGGAAGACUGCAGACAUUUAUACCGAAGAUUGGCACACAUUUGGAGUAAUUUUGAAGGUGAUGUGGAACCAGCUUUAUAACCGAGGGAAACUGAAGCAUCUACCUGCUGACCCAAAGGCAAACUUCCAUGCCUGCGAUGUUACAGUUGUAACCGCUUAUUUUCUAGUGUCAGCAAUGAACAUGCUGGGCAUGAGGGCAUGACUUCAUUUCAUCAUAUGCCUCAAAUUGAUUCAUUUGAUGAAAAUAACUUGGAUGAAAACGUGUGAGGAGAGGAAACGUGUGAGGAGAGGAAAGAACUUUUGUAUACUUUUUGCAAGAAAGUUCCAUGUUAAUUUAUCUUUUGUUACAAAGCCAACAGACCACCACCAGAGAGAUGGGGUACUAGAAUAUGCUAAUGAGUUGAUGACACUAGGCAUGCUUUUUAUUAACUACAAGGAUGCUGUACAAGAAGGAGAUGGCUUCAGCUUAUGGAAACAUCUUCUACCAAUUUUUCGUUUCUCUGGUCGCAAAAACUACUCUGUCGAAGUUUUACUUACGUUGUAUCAGUUUUACUACGCUCGUCAAUUUUUAUGGAGCAGGUUUGUGAACACACGUGGAUUACCAUCUAGGAAUAAGGCUACAUAUGGAAUAAGCUGUGUAAGGAUUGUAUAUCAGCUAACAAGUCAACAUCCGCUAUUACAAGAAUUGGGAAGGCCCUUUUUACAAUAUCACCGAGGUGUCCAGUGUUAGCACAAAGUUUGGAACUUGACAUCAAGAAAGUUUCCAA